UACGUAGGGGGCAAGCGUUGUCCGGAAUCAUUGGGCGUAAAGAGCGUGUAGGCGGCUCGAUAAGUCUGCUGUGAAAGUCCAGGGCUCAACCCUGGAAGGCCGGUGGAAACUGUCGGGCUAGAGUCCGGAAGAGGCGAGUGGAAUUCCCGGUGUAGCGGUGAAAUGCGCAGAUAUCGGGAGGAACACCAAUGGCGAAGGCAGCUCGCUGGGACGGUACUGACGCUGAGACGCGAAAGCGUGGGAGCAAACAGG
rnacentral:rRNA from 1 species